CCCCUGAUAGCUCAAUAUGCCCUUUUUCUUUUAGGGGUGUGAGCAUCGGUAGAGCGCGCGGCUGUAGACCGUGAGGUUCUGAGUUCAAAUCUCAGUCAGGGGA
rnacentral:tRNA from 1 species